UCCUAGACAUAUCUAUAAUUUCUUCUUGUUCCAUGAUCUUUUGGGUGACACUGUUAUCUGUUUUGCUACACUUUUAUAUCUUUUUACACAUAUUUGGACUAACCUACUAACUCAGUGCACCCAAUGCCAGCUUUUGUCUGUUGAUGUCUUUUUUGCACGGACUUUUACCCAAAUUUCCAGAGUCCCAAAAAUCCCGAGAAAAAAAAAUAUAAAAAUGAGCGUGACAGAAGUUUCACGAAGCACGAAGA
rnacentral:lncRNA from 1 species